UUUCUUUGUCUGCAGGUAAUUUUUUUCUGUCCAGUGGAACUUUUGUUUGCUGGUGUUUUAUCCCAUUCAAGACAAUUAUUUCUCGAUUGCACUCAAUCUUUCUUCUGUGAGUCCUGGCAAAUUUGGUUGACUUUUCUUUCUUGGUUGCAGAGGGCUCCUUAUACUCAGUUGGAGAAAAGAUUCAAGUGCAUUAUGCACACCUCUCUUCUCGUCCACCCAUUUCCCUAGUCCCCACGUUGCGGAUGAAGUAACUGAGGCACGAAGAACUCAGGUGGAAGUCUUAGUUUACAGAGUCAGUGACAGAGUGAGGACUUGAUGACUAUUUUCCUAAUGGCAUCUCAUCCCAGAGUUUGUGCUUCAAAACAUUCUGUGUCAGAAAAUGCAUAAGGACUUUGAUCUUCUUGUUAAACUAGUCAGCCAUCCAUGACAGAUGUCAGUUUUGUGCAGAUAUCUGGUUCUAGAAUUGAUGCUACUUAUGCAAGCUGUCUUUGUAAUUGGACUUAUUUAUAAAUGUAAUGGUUUAGUCAAAGGAAAUGAGGUUACCGAAUGUUUCACCACACCAUAACAUGGAUCAACAUUUUUCUAGUUUCUUAUAGCAGAUUUCUUGUCAUUUUUCCAGCAUUGUCUAACAAUUUCUCAUGAUUUUUCCAGCAUUCUAAAACAGUUUCCUCAGUAUUUUCUAGAUUCCUGUCUUAGUCUGGGCUCCUAUAACAAUGUAUCAUAGACUGAGUACCUCAUAAACAACAGAAAUUUCUCAUGGUUCUGAAGGCUGGAAGUCCAAGAUCAAGAUUUGGUGUCUGAUGCUGGACCUACAUCAAGGUCUGAAGACCUUCCUUGCUUCCUCCUGUUCCAUCUUACUCAAUAAAUCGUUUUUACUUGUGACUCUGAGAUCAGCAUCUACUUGGAGGAACUACCUAACACAAUCACCAACCACCAAGUCUUCCAAAUUUUCUGAUAACGUAAGAAGAGAUUAUGCAUUUUUGAAUAAUGAGGCCUGCUGAGAGUGAGACCGACGCCGAGUCCAGGGAGGAUCUAAAGGCUCAACCAUGUUUAUCAGCAGAGGAAAAUUGCUAGCAAAGAAGGGAAACAUUUAGUGAGCAAGAGAAAGGGAAUUAUUAAUAGGAAGAUGUCCCAGAAGAGGCAGAUAGGAAGGCAUGACAAGGAAGAAGUUCCUCCUGAAAAGGAGAAGAAACACACCUCUCUUCUAAUAGAAGAAUAGAAGAUGACAAUGUAUGAAGAUACAGAGGGUCUGUGAGUUGGGGAGGAGCACAAUACAUGGUAUUUAUUUUGACUGGCCUUAAUAUUUCCUAGGCAUAGUGAUUUCAGAUUUGAUAUAUAUGUGGACUGCAAAAAAAAUUUCAGAAUAAUCCUGGACAAGAUCUAAAAUGUUAACCAGUAUAUCCUAAGUUGAAUCCAUUAGUGAGUAAAGUGUUCCACAAAAUCUGAUUGCCACAAGCUCCCAACUCUUCCAGCAUCAUGGAGCUCAGUCUUUUUCUGUAAUAUCCACACCACUUACUUCUUCCAAAAAUGCCUGGGAGAGGUCAUGCAAGUCUGUGAUGAGGGCAGCUGAGGGGGAGGAGGGUACACUCUCACACGAAUUAGAACAGCAGGCUGAUGGCUCCAUUGCUGCCUCAUCCAUACCACUCACCCCCAGGCUCUCCUCCCUCUUCACUGUGCUUCUGUUUUUACUGCCAGCUGUUUCAGAAGGGUAAACCACAGCAAAGCUUCUGGACAUGGUUCUUUCCAGCCACUGAUUUCUGCUUCUCAUGACACACAGGCACUCUGGGGCAGGAAGGAGGAGAGGGGACUCCAUCAACAGAGAGCCAGAUAGCCAGGCCCAGCUCACACCACACCUAGACCUCCCAGAUGCUUCAUAUUCUAUUCUUGCUACACAGUCCAGGCCACUCUGUCAAACUUGGAGUCUCAAAAUGAUUUUCAUCAGCAGUCUCAUUAUCUUGUUUUUGGUCUGUCCUUCUUCAAGAACCCUUAUUCCAACAUUGGUAUAUAUCUUUACUCACACAGUAGGAUAGAUUCUUCUCAACAGGACUUGAUCCAUGACAAUGAAGGGAUAUAGAAGGACAUCUAUCUCAGCCCAUCUAACUCAGCCUCAGGGUUGAAAACAGAUUCUCCAAAAACUACCCCUUGAUUUGACUGAAGAGUGUGCUGACUGUGCUAAUUCUCAAGAAAGCUUAUUGAACUCAUGGAAUUUGAAGAGCGGGAGUCAACUGAAAUGAUGCUGGGUUUCAUUUUUAUUCCUCCUGAGAAAUUCAUCAAUUUUU